rnacentral:rRNA from 1 species
GUGGGGAAUCUUAGACAAUGGGCGCAAGCCUGAUCUAGCCAUGCCGCGUGAGUGAUGAAGGCCCUAGGGUUGUAAAGCUCUUUCAGCUGGGAAGAUAAUGACGGUACCCGGAGAAGAAGCCCCGGCUAACUUCGUGCCAGCAGCCGCGGUAAUACGAAGGGGGCUAGCGUUGCUCGGAAUUACUGGGCGUAAAGGGCGCGUAGGCGGACAGUUUAGUCAGAGGUGAAAGCCCAGGGCUCAACCUUGGAAUUGCCCUUGAUACUGGCGAUCUUGAGUAUGAGAGAGGUAUGUGGAACUCCGAGUGAAGAGGUGAAAUUCGUAGAUAUUCGGAAGAACACCAGUGGCGAAGGCGACAUACUGGCUCAUUACUGACGCUGAGGCGCGAAAGCGUGGGGAGCAAACAGGAUUAGAAACCCCGGUAGUUC